rnacentral:rRNA from 1 species
UACGUAGGGAGCAAGCGUUGUCCGGAAUCAUUGGGCGUAAAGCGCGCGUAGGCGGCCCUGUAAGUCCGUUGUGAAAGUCAAAGGCUCAACCUUUGAAAGCCGAUGGAUACUGCAGGGCUAGAGUCCGGAAGAGGCGAGUGGAACUCCUGGUGUAGCGGUGGAAUGCGCAGAUAUCAGGAGGAACACCAAUAGCGAAGGCAGCUCGCUGGGACGGUACUGACGCUAAGGCGCGAAAGCGUGGGGAGCGAACAGG